rfam:Acetivibrio ethanolgignens strain ACET-33324 ACET-33324.Scaf8, whole genome shotgun sequence.
GGCCAGUUGGUCAAGCGGCUAAGACGCCGCCCUCUCACGGCGGAAACAGGGGUUCGAUUCCCCUACUGGCUG